AAGUAAAUGGCCAAAACACUUACUUCUUCAUUGCCUUUUUAUCCAGCCCUAACCUUUCAUAUUGCAUAGCCUUCCCAUGGUUACUGUUAAUAUUGCAUAGCCUUCCAAUUAGAAUCCCAUGGGCAAAACACUUCUUCUUUGCCUUUUUAUCCAGCCCGAACCUUUCAUAUUGCAUAGCCAUGUAGAAGUAAAUGGCCAAAACCUUUCAUAUUGACCAUCCAUGGUUACUGUUAAUUUUGGUGGGAGAUAGUGGGAUACUAGUUGUGCAAUUCUCGGCAUCUCAACCCUUCAAUCACACCCUCAACUAUCAAUCACAGUUUCUUCUUUUCUCCCAUUUCUGUCUAUAUGAUUUGUGGUUUAUUUAUGCAUUUAUUUGAUUGUUUUGUAGUUCUGAGUUGCUUUUAUUUGAUAUAUUGUAGACCCAUGUCUCAAGAGCUCUCUUUGAAUUUUAGGAUCUUGACCUUAGUAGCACACUGCUUAGUGUAAGGCUUGUGACUGUAGUUGCUGCUCUUUCAAGUUAUGGACUGGUUAAAUUAUGUAAAUUACCUGGGCUUAAAUAAUUCAUUUUGUAAAAGAACUAGCAAUCAGGUAUAGGUGGAAUCGGAAAAUAGGGGCGUGGUGGAAUGCGUUUGGAGCUCGACAUGCAUCUGGACUCGGGGUGACUCGUGGAUCGUCCGUCCAAAAUCACCUUUAAAAGGGUUAGUUAUCAUUGUGGUUUGUGCGCAUCCUUUGAAUGCAGUUCUGGAAUUGUGCCUUAGGCUGCUGCCGCAUUGUGCUUCAGCUCAAUGAUCAGAUCUGAGAAGCACGCUGAGCUUGACAACCUUUGCUUGUGCUCAACAUCGGCCCAAAAUUUUCAUCGCCAUCUCUGUCACUAUGGUGGCUUCUUCACUGACCUGGAACUUCCAAAUUACUCGGUGUAUGCUCCUCAUUUACCACCUACAGUCACCUAAUGGUGUGCCAUGGUCAGCUUAGGAUCUGCUGUCGGAGCAUUAACAGUAGCAGCCGAUGAACUGAAAGAAGAAUACAAUAGUGUAAAAAGAACCAUUUU
rnacentral:lncRNA from 1 species